CCCCGAAUGAAACCCUGUGCCCACUGGCAGUCACUCCCCAGCCCUCCCCUUCCAGCCCCAGGUGACCUCGUCUUCCUUCUCUAUGAAUUUCCCUCGUCUGGACAUUUCACACAAGUGGAAUCAUGCAGUGUGUUGCUUUUUGUGACAGGUGUCUUUCACUUUGCCCGAUGAUUUGAGGGUUCAUUCAUUUUGUUUCGGUACUUCACUCCUUUUUUAUGGCCGAAUAAUGUUCCAAAGUGUGGCUAGACCACAUUGUGUUGAUUCAUUCAUCAGCAGGUGGGCAUUAGGGUUAUUUCCACCUUUUGGCUAUUGUGAUUAAUGCUGCUAUGAACCUUCUUAUACAUGUUUUGACCUUGGGCUGUUCCUAUACUGCCAAUCUUUUCUACUACUUUGUGAAAUUUCCACUUCUUUUAGUCCCAGUUGGUUGUCCUUUUCUGGAUAUUCCUUCUCUCUUUAUGGGUCUCACACCAGGAAUCACACCGAACGUUCUGCAGGUCUCCUGUCCCACUUUGCCAACUACUCCCAGGAACAUUCGGGAACCCACCAAGUCUUUUUCUGUAUCAGUUAUGUAACCCCAUGCACAAAAUCCCACCUCUGUAGCUUUGAAAGGUUUGAGGGCUUUCAAAACACUGAGCCACAGAGCUCCCUUUUGGCCACACAUCAGCAGAGUGUCACAAGACCGUGUUGUUUCAGGAGAGGUUGACACUAACAGCCUGAAUGGGCUCUGUGUGAUGGAAACCCACAGGUGGGAACCGAGGGCCCAUGACAGUGUUUGGGCGCGAGUACUCAGAGGCCGUCAGCGGCACAACUGCCAAGAUCUGAAGGUCACGCUGGUGCCGGUUGCCAUGCAUUCAUGGAGGCUGUCGUGGUUCAUUUGUGAAGCUGCCGUCAACAUGGGGAAAACCCACCCGGCGCCCCACGCGGUGGAAAAUGAGCCCCACGAAAGGCCGGGCUUCUUUUGACACACAACUAGUCAUGCAGCUUCGUUCUGUUAGAAAUGGAGAAAAGAGACCACUGGCCGGGGUACAGCUGUUUCUGUCUCUUCCUCAUUGUUGGUACCUUAUUCUGUGGGUUUUUUCACACGGUUGUCAGCUUUGGGAUGCAGAGGUCUGAUUUUAAGACUCUCUCUGCUGUAGAAGGCUAGGACCUCCCCCCACUCUGGACAUGACCUUGGCUACAACACGGCCAGGCCCCAUUUGUCUCAGUCCUCAAACCAGAUCUUUCAGAUUUCCGUUUCUAAUGUCUUUUCUUUUGAUGUGAAUUCUUUGACGAAAAGUAUUGUGUGAUCAGUUAGUCACUUCCUUUAUUGCAGUGACAGUAUUAUUUGCAGAGUGGGCACAAUGAUGUCAGUUCCCUCGACAGGAACAGGGGUUGGUCAGGACCCUUUGCCGAACACCAAACUGAAUAGACCUUCUUGCACAAGCAGUGCAUUGUGUUCCGCAAUAAAAGAGACGCUUUCUCCUGAGCGCAAACGUAACCUGUGCCUUGAUGGCCGUUUGGGGGGGUUUGCUGGAGAAAUCUGUGUCUGGGACCUGCUGGCUAUGUCCCGUCUCCCCACCUCAGGCUGAUUGGGUGGUGACGUUUGUGAAGGUUCCAGUUGUGCUGUGGGAUCCUGAAGGCAUCAGAACGGCUUUGCUUGUUUGCUCUGGUGUCUUAGGUUCAUUUGAGACUCGGAGCGUCUGGCUGUGCUGUGACCAAUAUGAGAUCAAAGCACAGGGGUAAACCGUUCGCUGAAGCCCACCUAAGUUGCACAUAAAGAGGCCUGAGGUGCAGAGGCGCUGCUGGGCAGCACGUGGAGGUCUGGGUGUGCAAGGAAUCCCUGAAAGAUAGGCGGUGUGCAGUUAACACUGACAGUGAACUUGGCCACAUCGAGCUUGAAAGAGAGACACAGCCCCAGGAGAUGGAGGGUGUAAAGGCAAAGACUUCCUGGCAGGUACGCCGAAGAAAGCAAACGGUGCUGAAACUGGUUUGUAAACCCAAGCAGCUCGGUGCUGGCUCCACAGGUCAGCAUGUCAGCUGGGGAGGCUUGGAAGGGAACGCUGGUCCGGCCGAGUGGCUCUUGAAUAGAAGCCUUUUCCCCGCCUCCUCAGCCUCCAGGGUUCAAAUUUCACUAAACCUGAUUGCAGGAAACCCCACCCUCGUGUUUACAUUGCACUGGCCUUUUUGGGUGGAACCAAAGUCCUUUUCUUAGCUACCAAGAUCUUCUACCUUCUGCAGUACCUGGAGAAGGGAGGCUGGGUCCCUGCGGGGGGACACAUGCCCCCAUCCCGGAAUGCUACGUUCUGGCGUUGGAGGCUUUCUUCAGGGUCCAACAGAUGUGGGCUGAACAAGCUGCAGGGCUGUCUGGAAGGAAGACACUUUUCCCGGGAAGCCCGCGGCUGCUAGACUCAUGGCUUCUGGUAGACUCAUGGCGUCUGGUAUUGGGACAUUUUGAUGGGCCUCACCUGAGAGCAGCUGUUCCUGGAUGCAUCCCUUCUUGCAAUCCUGCUCUCUCUUUCUGCCUCUGCUAACCCGUCAGAUGCUGUGAAAUGUGCCUGCCGCCCUCCGUUUCUUGAUCCUCUCCCUGUUCCCCAGGCUGGUUCAUCCCAGCAUGUAGUCGGAACUCUGCUGAGUAUUCCAUUUCAAGCUCCAUAAACAACCAACUAGCAGCCGUGGCAAGUGCUUAGUAAACUCGUGGGACUGUUCCUGGAGAGGAGUUUUCUGUUUUUCUCCGUUGAAGACUUGCAGGGAGGAUUCUGUUAGCUCUUUUGAAAUAAAAAGUUGCUUUUCAAGCAAACCUUUCACAAAAGUAAAAACAUAAGAUUCAUAGAGUCAGUAUAUAGAAGAAAGAAAGAUUUCAGCGAGCUUAACGAAGCCCUCAGGUUUGCUCUUUUGUUUGAAAUGGAUUUUUUGUGUUGGCAGCAGGGCCAGGGGACAGCUGAACUUAUUACAGAUCAGUUCUGCACCUUCUUGGUAGCCGAGUGGUUGGUGUUCAGAUGGCGGUGGAGUUGAGAUGCUGCCUUCCCUUUGGCUGAUUCUUCACACACCUGUGAGCACAUACCUGUGAGCACAGGUGGGCAUUGGUUAAUCUGCGUUCAGCCAGGAUGAGAAGGAAUGUUUUCAUUUUUUUUGUUGUUUAGGUCUGCCUCAUUUUCUUUGCUUACUUUUGAAAUAUUUUGGGGGUGUCUCUUUUCCUUCUUGUGAGAUAGCCCCCUUUCAAAAGUCGAGUGGGAGUGGGCAGGGAACUGGCACACGGUAGCAGAGCAGGGGCGGCUAGUCUGUGCUGCAGCUUCGCCCCUUAAAUGAGGCAAGAAUGUCCACUGGCUCUUUUCUUUCUUCUGGUUCUUUUCCAGAUGGGAACCUGCCCGGUGUGUCAUUCAGUGGAAGCGAUCAGAGCCGUAGUUAACGUUUGUUUGAUUUUUAACUAGGCCCCGGAUGCAGGGAAAUCAUUACCAGAAAACUCACAGGCCUCCUUUGGGAAGGGGCCCUGGGUUCUGGUUGGUGGGGCAGGGAUGGCGGGAAGGGACAGGACACAGAGCAAGUGGUCGAUCCUGCACUGGGACAGGCAAAGGCUCUUGUCCUGCAUCUGCAGUGGAAAAGCUGGGGGUCCUGGGCGGGUCACAUCUCUAUCUGGAGAUUGGGGGUCUUCAUUUGCAGAAUGAGGAUUCAUUCAAUUCCCCCAAACUCCCCUUGAGCUGGAAGCACAAAGUUAAAAUGUGUCAUUGAAAUCUACAAAAGGAUGCAAGGGGCGGAUGAAGUGAAUGCCUUCCAGACGUCUUCUGCUGGCCCCGCACUCACCCCAGCUUUGAUAGCACUCUGAGCUCCGAGAUGGAGCCGAGCUUCACAACCCCAAGCUUCCUUCACCCCAGGGGACCCACCUCCUUUCCCCUGGGAGCCCUUGGUGGUGGCAGUGGGACCCCAGCCCCAGCCGUGCCCAGGGAUCACAGAAGGGAGUUUGGCUAUAUCGCUUCUCUGAAAAUUACUUUCUGCGUCACUUUUCCAAAUCUGAAUUAAAAGGGGCACUCUACCAUCAAUUAAGUCAGGGUGUCCUUAAAGACUGACCAGAGUUUUGGGGGGCUUCAUACACCAAGGCUGGAGCUUGUGUCUCAUUUUCCAUGGGGGGUUUGGCAGUCAGUCAGUCGUGCAGUGACCCCCUCCCCCAAGCCCCCCAGAUAACUUUUGUCCCUGGUUGUGAUUCUGUUUUCAAUGCUCUCACCCUGCAGUUUUCACAUGGGGUCUCAGAAAACAAAAUACCAGCCCCGUAGGCAAGGUCGCCCUUCUCUAGAUGUGGUUUAGAGGCGGGCCAUGAGUAGGUGGGUGCACCCCGCCCAGCCCUGCAGCUGUGGGGACGAACCUGCUUGGGAAA